ACUUCAGGUUACCCACAAUUCCCUAAUUUUAAAAUAAAUGUAGCUCUGUAUUUGUAUACAAUGGAUAGAAAUGAACAUGUCUAAUAAAAGCAGUUCAGUCAUUUUUAUUUUAAUGCACUUUCUGUUUUUACUGGCAAAGUUGGGCAUGUAGAUCUGUUUAAACUAUGAAAUUUUCUUUACACUUUGGCAAGGCUGGCUUAGAUGAUUUCUACUGCAACUCUUAAAACAUGUUCUCUCAAGGAGCACUGUGAUCCAUUGGUCUUGGAGGCAAUGGAUACCAUUUGAUAAUGUCAGACUGCUACAACUAUGCUCUGGAUAAUCUAUUUAAAACAAAGCAGACUAUCAUAUAAAAAUGGUGGGGCCCAUACUUGCUGGAAUUCUGUGCAAAGGGGCUUUUAAAACUUAACCAAAAUCUUUUCCUGGGUGCAUAGCUUGAGACAAUGGGGAGGGGUCAGAAAGAUGGAAUCCUCCCAACAAAUUCAGUUAUAAUUAUGCUUGGAGGUCUGCCUCUGGGGAGAAAUGGGAUGUGAAAAUGUUUUGUCCUGUUGAAGGAACGUCACACUUAAAGCAAACAUAAAUUUUGCAUUUUUGCUUUAACAAACCAAAAUGUUUUUUCUUUUGGAAACUCAAAUAUAGUAUAUGGUGGUAACAUCAUUUCUACCACUUAAAAUACAGAAAACUGCAGUGGUUUGGGUCAUUUGUUUAAUACAAAUACAAAUUUGUUCUACAACAAUUAGAAGUUAUAUUAAUUUUGUUUCCCUUUAAAACCCGCCCUCCCCCUUCUUUCAGUACAUAUUCACUCACAAAAACCAACCGUUUUUGGAAAAGAGAAUGGGGUUAAAGAAGUAACAACUCUUAGUUCCAGGUAUUACACAGUGUAAAAUAUUUUCUUCAUAGAUUGUGUCAAUUAUAAAAAAGGGCUUGAUCUGAUGAUGGGGAAUGUAUAGUUAUGGACAGGCCAGGAAAAUAACCACUUGCUUUCAGCUAUAAUGCUAUGUGAAAUAGUACCAUUAGACUGGGUAAAAAUCCUCAUCAUACUAACACAAAGGUAAGUGGUGCAUUGUCACUGUUUUAAAAUGAGUAAUUGAAAAUGUUAGUUCUGGAAAUGGAAACAGAUUUUAAGAAACCAAGAAAGAAGAGAUCCAUGUCCACAUAGGGGACAGAAGCAUUUUGUUUAUGUUCCACAAUUUCUCACUAAUAUCUAGUAAUUCUGCAAUCCUUAUCCAAGCAAAACUGCCACUGAAGUUAAAGGGAGUGUUGCUCAAGCAAGAAGGCAGAAUUUGGCUUCAUAUCCAUGCAGUCUACCUGGGACUGACCACAUCUACAAAAGGGCAGCUCACAAUGAGUGUUCGUCCCAGAGAUGAUCCUGCAGUUCUUAGCCAGUCCAAAUUCCACUGAGGGGCUGUGGUGUAAAAUGCACACACACCUUCUUCAGUGAAGAAACAAUGCCACCUCUGUCAAACUGGCAUGACCUCAGAGGUCAUUUCUUCAGCUGCUUGCUGUGAGUUUGUACCUGUCUGGGAUACUGGCACUACUGCAGCAUCCUUGAUUUCAGCGCUCUGAAUGCAGGAAGGGUUCUUCUCCAUUUUUUUGGCAGUGUCCGGGCAGUUUUGAACAAAGAUCACUCGAUUGUAAGCCUUCAGUCUGCGCCACAACUGAACGUAGACUUUGCACUGGACGUACAUGAAGACUAGGCCUCCAGUGAACCCAAUUGCUACCACAACCAGUUUUGUCCAAAAUGGCCAUUCAAGGACACCUUUCAAAGAAACAAGUUACAAUUAGUUUCAUCAUCAUUUCAUAAUGUCUUGCUGAUGGCUUGUCUCUUCUGUCGCCUGUAUAUUCCAGUAUUACAUAAAACUGCCAAAACAUUAUUCUUUUCAAAGGAUCCCUAAUGCUAUUUGUACUGUAUGUACACAGUCACACACAUGAAGUGCAGCUGUUGUUAUGGUAGAAGACAGCAGCUGUUCCCUAGAUCAUAGAAACAAGAUCAGAUCCCUAAACAUCUAGUACAAUAGGGGAUUUCUGGUUUAACAAGGAAUGCAGGAUCAGGUCUUAGGACAGAAAGAUAACUGUCCUUACUAGAAACAGAUGACAUUUUUAUGUCCCUUGAUUGUACCCAUGCCUAUAGUACCUCUUUUAAGUAGGCAGAAUGUAGUUAUCUAGACUGGAAUGGCCAGAUCACUGGGCUUUGGGCCCUACUACUGAAAUAAAUAAAUAAAUAAAAGCUUUUUAAAGUUUGAUGGCUGGUCUAUAAGGAGACUCAAGCUAGAGUAUGUACAGUAUACUGGUCUGCUACACAGUAAGGUGCUGCAUGGACCCUGCUACCAUGCACAAAGUUUCAUAAUGAGCAGUAGCAAGGUCCACAUGGCUACUUGGUGCACUGUAGUUUACACCCUAGUUUGCUGCAUGCUAUGGGUCUGUAAAUAUACCUGGCACACCCUAUUUUAUACCUCAUUGAACAGUGGCACCUACAAUACCAAUGUGUUCCCCUGGUAUGGGGCUGUAGCAUUGGUUCAGUAGCAAAUUAGUGGGAAGAAAUCCACCUUGUGAAUAAAACUGCACCGCAGCUUUUUUUUGUUCUUUAUGCCUCUCUCGUGUAUGCUUUUUCCUUCUGCUAAAUCAACACAUUGCUAUUUUCCUACUUAGUUAUAUAAGAACUUUACAGUUCCUGAUACUGUUUUUGCUCAUUGCACCCUUUGCUCUCAGUUUAAAAACCAGGAAAAAUUCUUGCAAGGUCUUACUGUAACUGUAGAAAAAAGUCUCCAUGGGUGAUGACACUAAGGGUACAGAACAGAGAAUCUGAACGCCGUAAUGAUAUGAGUAAUGCUAAGAUGAUUCACUUUAGCCUAGAACUAGUCUUAGAACUUUACAAAAUCAAUUAUUGCUAUACUGGGAACAGCUUUAUAAUCACAGGAUAAUUAACAACACUGCAGCUGCUUCUUCAUAUGUUUAGCAGUAUGACUAAAAUGGGGGAAAAACCCGCUGUGCAUUACUGCAUCAGAUCUAAUGAUGACAGUGUUGGCAUUAAUACAUAAUAUGCAAGUGUGUGGUUUUGAGAUUGCGUGUCAAUGCUGCUUUCUCGAUAUUUUACUUAAAAUAAAUUUAUUAGUCACAUAUGGAAGAUCUUUAAAAAUCCUUAGAACAUAUAGAGUGCAAAUCACAAUCGAGGUGCUUUAGAAACAGGAUAAUUAAACUUCAAAGCAAUGCGUGGGAGGCAUUAGAGAGAGGCACUCCAAGAUGGAUAUGGUGUCAGCUGGAGGAUUAGAAUCCACGGGUGGUCAUCUGCCAGGUUUAGCUGCAACCAGUCGAGCAGUAAUUUGAGUUUAAUUGUGUUGUUAAACAAUAAUAGAAUACCAUUUAUUUAAAUAUUUUGGGUAUUUUCUACAUUUUCAAAUAUAUUGAUUUCAAUUACAACACAGAAUACAGUGUACCAGUACUUACUUUAUAUUUAAUUAUAAAUAUUUGCACUGUAAAAAACAAAAGAAAUAGUAUUUUUUCAAAAAGAAAAGGAGUACUUGUGGCACCUUAGAGACUAACCAAUUUAUUUGAGCAUGAGCUUUCGUGAGCUACAGCUCACUUCAUCGGAUGCAUCAGCCAAUCGCUCAGACAAACAAAUUUGGUUACAAUUUGGAGGAGAUAAUGCUGCCUGCUUCUUGUUUACAAUGUCACCUGAAAGUGAGAACAGAUGUUCUCAUGGCACUGUUGUAGCCGGUGUUGCAAGAUAUUUACGUGCCAGAUGCACUAAAGAUGCAUAUGUCCAUUCAUGCUUCAACCACCAUUCCAGAGGACACCUUCCAUGCUGAUGACGUCUUCUGCUCAAUAACCAUCAAAAGCAGUACAGACCGACACCUGUUCAUUUUCAUCAUCUGAGUCAGAUACCACCAGCAGAAGGUUGAUUUUCUUUUUUGGUGGUUUGGAUUCUGUAGUUUCCGCAUAUGAGUGUUGCUCUUUUAAGACUUCCGAAAGCAUGCUCCACACCUCGUCCCUCUUAGAUUUUGGAAGGCACUUCAGAUUCUUAAACCUUGGGUCGAGUGCUGUAGCUAUUUUUAGAUAUCUCACAUUGGUACCUUCUUUGCCAAAUUGCAAUGCCACAGUGCCCAGCGAAUGCCUCUUCUCACUUUCAGGUGACAUUGUAAAUAAGAAGCAGGCAGCAGUAUCUCCCGUAAAUGUAAACAAACUUGUUCAGCCAAUCACUAAGACAAACAAGAAGUAGGACUGAGUGGACUUGUAGGCUCUAAAGUUUUACACUGAGUGCACUUAUGUAACAAAAAAAAUCCCAAACCUACAUUUGUAAGUUAUACUUCCACGCUAAAGAGAUUUCACUACAGUACUUGAAUGAGGUGAAUUGAAAAAUACUAUUUCUUUUGUUUAUCAUUUUUACAGUGCAAAUAUUUGUAAUAAAAAUAAUAUAAAGUGAGCACUAUACACUCUGUAUUCUGUGUUGUAAUAAAAAUAGUUGAAAAUGUAGAAAACCAUCCAAAAUAUUUUAAACACAAGAAAAGGAGUACUUGUGGCACCUUAGAGAUGAACAAAUUUAUUUGAGCAUAAGCUUUCGUGAGCUACAGCUCACUUCAUCGGAUGCAUUCAGUGGAAAAUACAGUGGGGAGAUUUAUAUACAUAGAGAACAUGAAACAAUGGGUGUUACCAUACACAUUGUAAUGAGAGUGAUCACUUAAGGUGAGCUAUUACCAGCAGGGGGUGGCAAGAGAGGGGAACCUUUUGUAGUGAUAAUCAAGGUGGGCCAUUUCCAGCAGUUGACAAGAACCUCUGAGGAACAGUGGGGGUCGGGGGGGGGCAGAAUAAACAAGGGGAAAUAGUUUUACUUUGUGUAAUGACCCAUCCACUCCCAGUCUCUAUUCAAGCCUAAGUUAAUUGUAUCCAGUCUACUCUGAAACCUGUCAAAAUAUUUAAUACAUUUCAAUUGGUAUUCUAUUGUUUAACAGUGCGAUUAAUUUUUGAGUUAAUUGCAUGAGUUAACUGCAAUUAAUCAACAGCCCUAGUUUAACCAUCUGUUUUUGCUGCUUAUGCAACUGGCUUGCCUUAGAAAAGUCUUUGUAAGUGAGAAAUCAUUGAAAUAAUCACUACAGAAUGGUGUUUAAUUACCACAGAUUUCCCUGUCAUGGAAACUGCUAGUAAGUGCUAACUUUUUCAGGGUGGCACUUUUGAAAGUCAAAGUGACUUUAGCACAUGUUCCAGUGAAAGUCAGUUGGACUCCUACUCUUAAGUGACAGGGAUGGUCUCCUUAUUAAGGAAAUGACAGCUACUCCACACACUGACUUAGGAGCUUCUGAAAAUCCUACCUACCAGUGAUCACUAUUGAGAUGUGGUGUUAGUUUUGAAAAAUUACACACCAGGCAAUAGCCUCAGCUGCAGUAAAUCACUGUAACUCUGCUGAAGGCAGUGGAGCUAUGCUGAUUUAUACGAGCUAGUUUGAUUAGAUAUUUCUGUCAUCUCACCAGACCCUGGAGUAAGUACGCCAAGAAGAAAUAGGGAAAAAUACUUUUAAUGAUUUCCCCCAUCUUCCCACUUUAUUGGGCUAGCGUGUAACUUUUUGGGUAGUAAAUCAGAGUUCUGAAUUUCAAUAUGAAAAAGAGUGGGCCUGCUGUUGCAUCACUGUAGGGGAUGGGAGCUUUGCAGUUGUCUGUAGUAAUCAAAUAAAUGCUACUAUGUGUGGAUCAAAUUCUGUUUUUGAAUGUGCUAAUCUAUUUCCUCAUUGACUUCACUGAGCGCCAAGGGGUGUAUCCAUAGCCAGGAUUUGCUCCCAUGUGUUACUAUUUCCUUAAUGAAUUCUUGUAACUAAAGGCAGCAUAGCAUUUGCAACUCUACUAAAGUAAAGUAGUAUACUAUACGCAUGUUGGCAAUAUCUGCUUAGUUCAGUAAUCCACUGUAGUCUGUUGUAAAACAAAUCAGCCUUGUAAAUCCAGUCCUGCAUUUAAAUGCCCUCUAGCACAACGAGGCCACAAUCCUGACUGGCAUACUACUAGUACUGAAAUAAUAACCAAAACUUUUGUUAAGGUUCUAAAUCAGGGGUAGUCAAUAGGUGGAGCACGGGCCAAAUCUGGACUGCCAUAUGCUUUUGAACAGACCCCCAAAUCUUUUUAUUUACUUAUUAUUUUCUCUGGAUCCUGGAGAUUGACUAUACCUUGAUGAAGAAAUGUGGACCUUAACAAAAAUAGACUACCCCUGUUCUAAACUGUUCCAGUAACUCCUCCCUCACUUUUCCCAGUCUUUGCUUGCCUGGAUUCCCACUAGAACUGAAAGUGCUGAAAUAUCACAAUAAAGGCUGCUGUUAGAGGAUGAAAUCCAGCUGUGUGUAGAGAAUGCAGGAAAGGACCUCUGUGACAUUUAAUUCCCACAUUAAGGGCUGCACAGGACUUUCUACACUAGGGUGAAUUUCAUGCAGCGUUUCCUGCUGGGUCUGGAAGUUUUAACUUGCUUGAAAUCUUCUAAGAAAGCCUUUUGCAAGAUUUCUACCCCAGUUUUGUAGAAGAGAGGUUUCAAUAGGUCAGAUGGGCAGCUUAAAUCUUUUGGAUGCUCUGAACUGAACUUGCACUGAACUUUUUAAGUUUCACUCAUCAAUUUUUAAAUAGUAGCUUUAAAAAAGUCCAGCUAUUGAAGUAAAAUGAAAAGAAUGAACUGAAUGGUUUAGUUGUUGUGAUGGGUGCAUUGAACUGUGAUCUCUUUGCACUGCAGGAAAGAAAAUAUAUUCAGCAAAAAACAGGUUUGUGAACUGAAUUGUGUGUCCUUUGCUUUGUCAUCAAACAAAUUCCCUAUAAUCCUGUUAUAUAUUUACAAAUAAAAAGUGCCUUGCAAUCUA